AUGAAUGAAUAACAUUCCAUUGUAUGGAUUAUACCACAUUUUGUUCAUUCACCAGCUGAUGGACGUUUGAGUUGUUUCCACUUUUUUUGGCUCUUGUGAAGAACGCCGCUGUAAACAUUUCUAUCCAACUUUGUGUGUGGCUGUAGGUUUUCUGUUCUUUGGAGGAUAUAUCAGGCACUAUGGUGAUUCUGUGUUUAACUUUUUGAGGAACUGCUAAACCGUUUUCCCAAGUGACAAUACCAUUUUACACUUUCAUUAGCAUGGUUCGAUUCUCUCUAUAUCUUCAACAAUGCUUUUUGUGGUCUGUGUUUGAUUAUUGCCAUUCUCCUAGUAUCUUUUGAAUAUAUGUACUUAGGUUUCUAUUAUCAGGUUAUGGAGUAGGCUCUGGAAUAUGAUAGGAAUAGAGGUCUUGGUGGGGUAAAGGCAUCAGAGAAGAGUUAGAGUCGGGGUCAUUACACGUGGAACGGGACAGUUGACUUAGAAAGGUGAUGAAGUCGAUGACUUCCAUACUUUGCUCUUCCGAUGUGGACAGUUAAGACACGCAGCAUAUCUGCAGAAGGAUGGCCCAGACAAUUGACAACUCCUUUAGCUGCAAAUUUCCUUUUUGCUGUGGCUGCUUUAACUGACUCCUAUUGCCAAAAUAUUUUCAUCUAUGGAAGAGAUCCAGGGAACAUCAAAGUUAGUAAAAAGGGUUAAUCAGGCAAAGAAGUGAGAUUACUUCCAUCCAAAUAACUAAAUAACUAAAAAUUUUAAAGACCUUCUGUUUCUUUAGGGCAGACUCUAUGAAUAGGAAUAAAAUACCUAUUUCAGAACAAAUAACUUAUUUUCUAAUGAGGUAAGAUUUUUUUUUUGGUAGAUGGCUGUACUACUUCUGUUACAAAUAGGACAUGUUUGGACGCUUAUUCGGCAAUAAUGGCACCCACUGACCUUUCCAUUUUUCAUCAUUGUCAAAAUUCAGACUGUCUUAUAACUGAUUAAAAAGACAAAACCUAUACAUAUUCACAAGACAAUUUUGAUGCUAUUACUCAAAAUUCAUGCAUAUUAAGUCUGCUGGCAUCAGACCAGAUAUAUUCAGAUAUAUUUGGACAGCUUGGAAAACCUAAGGAGGAAACACCUUUUCUCUGGAAGCACACAGCCAUCCUAUUGGGCAACUCAGAUGGGGAACAGGUGCAGCCUAUAAGCACAAAGCGAAGCUGGGAUAGGAACAGGUGUGGCUUAACUUCAGGCUGAAUCUUCUUUGGGAUGUGAUUGAUCUUUCUUCACAAAGCUGCCUCUCCUUCCUGCAACCAUCCAGAAAGGACCAAUGGAACUAUUAGAAAAUGCCCAUGUUAUCAUGAGGUGAUUUAAUUCCCCUUUUAAACUACAGCUUCACUUUCAGAGCAGAUACAGAAUUUUUCUUUGGUCAGUUCCAUAAGGCCACCCACAGAAAAACCCGAUCAGGUGUCCUAAUUACCUGAGUAUCAUUUUGGGAAAUCUACUCAAUUGCAAAGGUCCACAAUAAUAUCAGAUAGUAUUAAAAAUGGUCUUGGGGAGACAUGGAAGCAACCUAUAUGUCCAUCAAAAGAGGAUUUGAUAAAGA
rnacentral:lncRNA from 1 species